GACGAACGCUGGCGGCGUGCUUAACACAUGCCAGUCGAACGGAAAGGCCCUGCUUUUGUGGGGUGCUCGAGUGGCGAACGGGUGAGUAACACGUGAGUAACCUGCCCUUGACUUUGGGAUAACUUCAGGAAACUGGGGCUAAUACCGGAUAGGAGCUCCUGCUGCAUGGUGGGGGUUGGAAAGUUUCGGCGGUUGGGGAUGGACUGGCGGCUUAUCAGCUUGUUGGUGGGGUAGUGGCUUACCAAGGCUUUGACGGGUAGCCGGCCUGAGAGGGGGACCGGCGACAUUGGGACUGAGAGACGGCCCAGACUCGUACGGGAGGCAGCAGUGGGGAAUAUUGCACAAUGGGCGGAAGCCUGAUGCAGCAACGCCGCGUGCGGGAUGACGGCCUUCGGGUUGUAAACCGCUUUCGCCUGUGACGAAGCGUGAGUGACGGUAAUGGGUAAAGAAGCACCGGCUAACUACGUG
rnacentral:rRNA from 1 species